rnacentral:rRNA from 1 species
AGCGAACGCUGGCGGCAGGCCUAACACAUGCAGGUCGAACGCCCCUUCGGGGGAGUGGCGGACGGGUGAGUAACGCGUGGGAAUGUGCCCUUUGGUACGGAACAACUGAGGGAAACUUCAGCUAAUACCGUAUGUGCCCUACGGGGGAAAGAUUUAUCGCCAUUGGAGCAGCCCGCGUUGGAUUAGGUAGUUGGUGGGGUAAUGGCCCACCAAGCCGACGAUCCAUAGCUGGUCUGAGAGGAUGAUCAGCCACACUGGGACUGAGACACGGCCCAGACUCCUACGGGAGGCAGCAGUGGGGAAUCUUGCGCAAUGGGCGAAAGCCUGACGCAGCCAUGCCGCGUGAAUGAUGAAGGUCUUAGGAUUGUAAAAUUCUUUCACCGGGGAAGAUAAUGACGGUACCCGGAGAAGAAGCCCCGGCUAACUUCGUG